ensembl:snoRNA SNORD96 Small nucleolar RNA SNORD96 family
GAUCCUGGUGAUGACAGAUGACAUUGUCAACUAAUCCCUUCAAGGGAAUGAGGACAAGUCCUGCAAUUCUGAAUGGGUU